GACGAACGCUGGCGGCGUGCUUAACACAUGCAAGUCGAGCGGUAAGGCCCUUUCGGGGGUACACGAGCGGCGAACGGGUGAGUAACACGUGGGUGACCUGCCCUCAGCUCUGGGAUAAGCCUGGGAAACCGGGUCUAAUACCGGAUAUGACUCCAUGACGCACGUUGUGGGGUGGAAAGCCUUGUGCGGCUGAGGAUGGGCCCGCGGCCUAUCAGCUUGUUGGUGGGGUGAUGGCCACCAAGGCGACGACGGGUAGCCGGCCUGAGAGGGCGACCGGCCACACUGGGACUGAGGCACGGCCCAGACUCCUACGGGAGGCAGCAGUGGGGAAUCUUGCGCAAUGGGCGAAAGCCUGACGCAGCGACGCCGCGUGAGGGAUGACGGCCU
rnacentral:rRNA from 1 species